GCUUUAUGAGUAUUUCCGUACAACCGCCUUCCAAGCAGUAAGAUUGAUUAAUUUUCAAAUAAAGU
rnacentral:tRNA from 1 species